GUGAGUGUAGCUCAGUUGGUUAGAGCAUCUGGUUGUGGUCCAGAGGGUCGUGGGUUCGAGCCCCAUCACUCACCCCA
rnacentral:tRNA from 1 species